ACUAGUUCUGGAGAUAAAUCUGAGAACUGGAACAAGAGAACAAUAGAUCGUGUAACAACAACGAACAGCGACCAACCACCACUCGGUCACCACCAUACAUGGUCGCCGGCAAGGAGAGAGAGAGAGAGAUUGGCUGGGGAGAGAUAGAUUUUGAGAGAGAGAGAGAGAGAUAGAGAGAGAGAGAGAGAGAGAGAGAGAGAGAGAGAGAGAGAGAGAGAGAGAGAGAGAGAGAGAGAGAGAGAGAGAGAGACAGGUGAAACCUUGAUGGCUAGGUUUUUCUUUUAUCUCUAGAUCUUUGCAGAGCUACGCUUUUGUUUUUGAAUGAGACAAAUGGGAAAGUUGACAUCUUUAUUUAUAGUAAAAAGAAGGGAAACCUUAGAUUUACCCUAGUGGGCCACACUCCUAGCGGCUUCCUAAAGAAAAUUUAAGGCCACAAGUUUUAGACCGUUACAAUUAUCUCCCUGUUAGUUGAAAUUUGUUUAUUAAUUCCAAUCUUCAAAAUUCAAACAUAACGGCUGAAACAGAAAAGAACACACACAAUCACACAUCAAUCAAGGGAUGCACAUAAGGCGAUGAUAAAAUUUACUCAAGAUCUCUUUUAAAAUAAACGAAUGAAUAUAAUAAAUGAAAUGAAGUACGACUACAAUAGUUUUGAAAGCUCAAGUUAUCUAUACAAUCAAUAGAAAGCCUUUAGAAAUGAAAUACACCAAAGCCAACAAGUAAAACGGAAAGCAUGUGUCCUACUCCUAAGAAAUGAUCCAAAAUCACAGCUAGCCACUACGGCGUGGAGAAACAUGGACAGCCUCAGAUCCAGGACCAGACAAGUUGGGUAACUGCCAGCUCGCAGCCGUUUGGCCCCUUUUGGCACUAUCUGCCAUGCGGUACUUGCAGCCAUAUCUGCCACGAAUCGGCACUACUCGAGUUUACGGCGCCCAGUAACAUUAAACCUGCCCUUUCACGGUCACAUUACAUUAACUCAUCAUCAUAUUUCUAGACGCCACCCGUUUUUGGUGUCUUACAUUAUUUACAACGUUCUCAUUUUCAUUAUCCUUAACAUUAACCUUGACACAUUCAUUAGACAUCACCCAUUCUCGGUAUGACAUACAAUAAACAUCACACUCAUUAUCAUUCAUCUUUUAUUUUAAUCAUUCAUUAUUAUAUGAUACUAACUGCAACCAUACGAGUUGUAACUUCAUCUAAUAACUUAAGCAUGUAAUUCUUUCUAGAUACUUAACUUUCUCUGACAGUCAUCACAUGCAUUAGGCAACCAAUCAUAUGAGCAUGAAACAAUAUAAUUCAUUCACAUCAAUACAAGGCAGUUCAUUUAAUCCUUUAAUCAGUGUGAAGGUUUUUAUACAACACGAUUCAUUGAUCUAUCAACCUAACUUCAAACAACGUCUAACCAACCCUAAUUCCAACUUCAAGGAGUAUAAAGAACAUGAGAGGGAGAUGGGUUUGGAUCACCUCACUUUAAACUUGAUCUUGAGAUAGAUUUGGAGAACUGGAACAAGAGAACAACAGAUCGGGAAACAACAAUGAACAGUGACCAACCACGCACGGCCGCCGGCGAAGAGAGAGAGAGAUCGGCCAGGGAUAUAGAGAGAGGAGAGGGAGAGAUACAGUGUGAGGCGAAGAGAGAGAAAAGAAAGGUGAAACCUUGAUGGCUAGGGUUUUCUAUUCUCUCUAGAACUCUGAAGAGCUAUGCUUUAGAUUCUGAAUGAGACAAAAGUGAGAAUGGGCAGCUUUAUUUAUAGUGAAAAGAAAGGAAUUCCUAGGUUUUAGCUUAGUGGGCUGUAGUCCUCGCGGGAUUCCUUAAGAAAAUUUGGUGCCCAAGUUUCGGACUGUUAUAGCACGAGUCUAACACACAAAUAUGAUUUCAAAAUGUAUUUAAUACUUUCCACUACAUAACUAUACAAUAACAACUAAUUUGUUCAUAUGAUAACAAUAUUGUUAAAUUUGGUUAAACCAAUUUUCUACGUUAAAUUUAAAAUCCAAUGUUAUUGAACUUGACAUUUUAUAAAGUACUCUGAAAUCCAUUGUUAUUAAAAAUAUUUUAAAUUCUGGAGUUCUAAAAUUCUCAAGUGAUUUUAGAGUGAUUGAAUGGAGUUUCUUAGUCAAAAAAUUGAAACUAAAAUCUCAUGGUUUUAGUGAUAUUGUAAAGUGGUUUAACAUAAAUCACCUUAAACUCUUUAAUUUAUUGAAGGGGGAUUUGCCAAAAAUAAUUCAAAACUUGAUUUUUAAUACAAAAGUGUACCCCAAAUUCAAUCAAAUACAAAAGUAACACAAAAGCCUAGUGAAAUUACAACAGCCCCUUAUGAACAAACAAAAAACAUGUAUUUCUCUACGAUGAAUUUUUUGUAAGUCUUCUCGUUCAGUAGAUCUUAAAAAUAAUUUUAUAAUUUAUAAAAAAUAUUUUGAUGGGUAAAAAAUUGAAAUCAUGUAAUAAUAAACAUUUCUCAAUGAUUUAAAUUUAGUUCAUCUGAAAUUGAAUUAUUUUUAAACAUAGAUGAGUGAAUGUAUAUUGGCUCAUGAGUCAUUGGUUUAGGGUCUGGUAACAUAUGUUAUAGUAUUGUAUGUAUCUUUAGGGUUAUAUUCUGAAAUCUUACCUUCAUUUUUUUUUCUUUUUCAAAUUGACCCAUAUAUUUUAGUAACUAUUUAAUAACUUGAUUUAAACACUUUCUAAGUUUAUUUUUAAGUUUAAGAAAGUGUUUUUUGCAUAGUUAAUUUAUUUUAGGGUCUGGAAGACUCACAAAAGACUUAAAAAGAAGUCUUCAGACACAUCUCAUCUAAAUUUUAGUAGAAUUUAUGGUUUCCGCCUAAAUUUUGGAAUAAUUUAGGUUUCCCGCCUAAAUCAAAGUCUUCCAUAAUCUUCCAUAAGUCUUCUAGGAGUCUUCCAUAAGUCUUCCAGAAGUCUUCCAGAAGUCUUCCAGAGAAAGUCUUCUCAUAGAUUAGAACUUAAAAAUAAUUUAAUUUUUUAUAAAAAAUAUUUUCCCGGGUUAAAAUUUGAAAUCAUGUAAUAAUAAACAUUUUUCAAUGAUGUAAAUUUAGUUUAUCUGAAAUUGAAGUAUUUUCAACAUAGAUGAGUGAAUGUAGAUUGGUUCAUGAGUCAUUAGUUUAGGGUUUGGUAACAUAUGUUAUAGUAUUGUUGGUAUCUUUAGGGUUAGAUUUGAAAUUUUAUCUUCAUUUUUUUUCCUUUUUCAAAUUGACCUAUAUAUGUUUAGUAACUAUCUAACAAUUUGAUUUAAACACUUUCUAAGUUUUUUUAAGUUUAAAGAGGUUUUUUGCAUAGUUAUUUGAUUUUAGGGUCUAGAAGAGUCACAGAAAACUUAAAAAGAAGUCUUCCGACGCAUCCCGUCUAAAUUUAAGUAAAAUUUAAGGUUCCGUUUUCCACCUAAAUCAAAGUCUUCCAUAAGUCUUCCAUGAGUCUUACAUAAGUUUUCCAUGAGUAUUUCAUAAGUCUUCCAGAAGUCUUCUUGGUCGAAAAUAUUUAACCUAAUUAGAAUUUUUGUCUUCACAUAUAAAGAAAAUUUACACAUUCUCUUUCUUCCUCUCAAAUGACUGCAACAAAAAUGUAAUGUUUCUCACUAUAAAACUCUCCAACCUCUCUCAAAUCUCUUUGAACAUCAAAACACCAAAUUUUAUAUCUAUUUUUCACUUUUUCUUAUGUCUUCUCACUAAUUUAUCUUCUUUUUGUAGGUUUUUCAAUACAUGAUUCUCAUCUUUCACUCUUUCAAAAGUAUAUCUCUAAAUUUUGGAUAUAAAUUUAUGUGUGUGUUUAUAUGUUAGAUUCUAAAAAGCUAUAGAUUCAACAUAGUGUGACUGUUUUGUUUAUUUUGUAAGCACAAAAUUCAUUUUUGAAGUUUUUCUCUGUUUUGAAGUCAUUUGAAUGUUUUUGAAUUGCAUAUUUUUUCAGAUCUGAGAGACUUUGAAAGACUUCUUAGAAGACUCUCAGAAGACUUCUCAGAAGCCUUCUUAGAAGUCCUCUAAUGCAUUUUAUGCUAUAAGACUUCCCACAAAAUCUUCUGGAAGUCUUCUGAAAUCUUCUGCCUAAAGUGAUAAAUUUUAGAUAUGUAUUUUAUGUGUUUUAUAUAUUAGAUUCUAAAAGAUUAUAGAUCCAACCUAAUGUGACUGUUUUGUUUAUCAUCUGAAAAUUUAUUUUUAAAGUCUUCUCUAUUUUGAAGCCAUUUGAAUGCUUUUGAAUAUGCAGAUUUUUCAGAUAUGAGAUAGAUUUUGAAAGACUUAUGGGAUAAUUCUUGGAAGACUCUCGGAAGACUCUCGAAAGACUCUCGGAAGACUUCUUGUAAAGUAUUUUAUGCUAGAAGACUUCCCACGAAGUCUUCAGAAAGUCUUCCAAAGUCUCUGCCCAAAGUGGUACAAAGAGAUGAUGUGAAGUGGAGUCCAAGCUUAUCUAUGUUGAGAAAUAAUAUCUAGUUGUGUAAUAAUUUUUAUGAUUUGUAGGUGUAAUAUUUUCGUUGUGAAUUAUUUUGUAAACUUUAAGAGAUGUUGAUCAAAAGAAUGGUAAAUAUGUUCAUGUUUUGCCAAAAGUACUUGACUUCACUUAAGUUAUUGAUGCAACAUACGAAAAAUUAUUUUAAUCAUUCUACCCACACAUAACAAAACACAACAACACAAAAUCUUAGUAAAAUUUGCUAAAACUAAGAGAGAAGACGUCUCAAGAAACCUUAGUCAAAUUCACAAAAGAUCAAAAUUGAAUUUUAAGUGAAAGUUAAAAUUUUAAAUCUCAUGGAAGUUAAAAAUUGUAUCUUAUGAGAAAGACAACA